CCUACGGGAGGCAGCAGUGGGGAAUAUUGCACAAUGGGCGCAACCCUGAUGCAGCGAUGCCGCGUGAGCGAAGAAGAAUUUCGGUAUGUAAAGCUCUAUCAGCAGGGAAGAAAAUGACGGUACCUGAAUAAGAAGCUCCGGAUAAAUACGUGCCAGCAGCCGCGGGAAAACGUAUGGAGCAAGGGUUAUCCGGAUUUACUGGGCGUAAAGGGAGCGUAGGCGGCUUGCCAAGUAUGAUGUGAAAUACCGGGGCUCAACCCCGGGGUUGCAUUGGAAACUGGCAGGCUGGAGUGCCGGAGAGGCAGGCGGAAUUCCUAGUGUAGCGGUGAAAUGCGUAGAUAUUAGGAAGAACACCAGUGGCGAAGGCGGCCUGCUGGACUGUGGCUGACGCUGAGGCUCGAAAGCGUGGGGAGCAAACAGGAUUAGAUACCCGUGUAGUC
rnacentral:rRNA from 1 species